AUCAGUAUUCUUAUCCGCCAUGUAUGUGAAACCCUAACCUUAGAAAUCGCCCUAAUCCCCCUUUUUUCUAAGCCAAUCGAGCCUGCAGAACACCAAAUCAUGCGGCUAUGUAUCAAUAUCUCAAUCGUGAAUAUCAAAUUCGGAGCUCAUCAAGCCCUUGAAAAAAUCAGUAUCUACUGGCAUACAUUGACAACCCUGCGCUCUUAAGACUCUCUGAGAAGAUCUAUCUGUCAUCAAAAUCCAUUCAUUCUCUCUCUCUCUCUCUCUCAUCAACUCCUUUUGAUUCACUAUUUUUCUCAAUUGUUCUAUUCUGAUUUAAUUUUUUUAAUACCCACUUUCAUCGUUUUAAUGUAAUGGAUACAAGAAUUCCAUACAAGAUGUCGUGAUUGCCUCUUACCGAUCGGAUGCUCCAUAUAAAAAAUUCUUCUGAGAGAGAGAGAGAGAGAGAGAGCAAGAGAGGGAUUUUGCUUUGAAGGGGGCUUUCGAAUUUCAAACCCUAGGAGAGAGAAAGCGAGUUCCGAUUCAAAGUGUUCAUUUAUCGCUGAAUCACAUUGUAUUGAAAGAUCUUCACUGACAGAUUACAGGUUAGUUAAAUUAUCUAAUUGAAUCUAGUUAUUUAUGGUUACCUUACAGUAUACUUCAAGCUUAAUUUUUUUUUAUAUUUAUGUAUUUUGGUUCUGAGAAAAUGUGGGUAGAUCGAGCAAGAUAAUGGUGUAGGAAAUUGUUGUAUGUACGAUUACUGUAUCGUGAUUUGGGAGUUGGGACCAGCAAGAAGGAUACGUGAAAUAUAAGUAAAAUGUAUUAUAUAUGAUUAAUUAAUUANNNNNNNNNNNNNNNNNNNNNNNNNNNNNNNNNNNNNNNNNNNNNNNNNNNNNNNNNNNNNNNNNNNNNNNNNNNNNNNNNNNNNNNNNNNNNNNNNNNNUGUUAGAUUAUAUCGGGCAUGUUUUUCAAGCUCUGCAAAUAAGAGUUUGUUUCUAAUGGAUCAAAAACCCAAUGUUGAUUGAAUAAUUGUCUUUUUGAAAAGACAUUGUUGUCAUGGUCAAACGUAUGGAGUAACCUGGCCCAUCUGGUUUGUGUAAUUAUGUGAAUGCAUAAAUUGAUGCAAAAUGCCUUGAGAAUAGAAGUAUUGGUUUGUUGUAUAAUGGAUUGAAAUAUUGAAAUGUUGUUUAAAUUUGAUAAAAAAUCCCUCGCUAGAAUUUGAUUGCUUCAAUCUAACCUUCAGAAGAAAUUAUGAGAAGAAAAUGUUGUUACUCCUAUAAUAAUUCUUGUUGCCGCAAAAGUUCAUACUUCAGUUUUCUUAUACUUAUGGAUGUAUUUGUUUGUAGUAUUUUGCGAUAUUGUUAGAUUAUAUCGGGCAUGUUUUUCAAGCUCUACAAAUAAGAGUUUGUUUCUAAUGGAUCAAAAACCCAAUGUUGAUUGAAUAAUUGUCUUUUUGAAAAGACACUGUUGUCGUGGUCAAACGUAUGGAGUAACCUGGCCCAUCUGGUUUGUGCAAUUAUGUGAAUGCAUAAAUUGAUGCAAAAUGCCUUGAGAAUAGAAGUAUUGGUUUGUUAUACGAUGGAUCAGCUGGUAUAUACCUACUAACGUUGUGCACUUCUUUUGCUGUAGCACUAGUAUCCGUAUAUUCAGGCAAUUAUACUUUAAUUCAUAGUUCUGCUACCAUUCUAUAAAACAAAUUUGUAUAUGGUUUACACCUGUUUGGGUGGCUAAUAUUUUAAAUAAAACCAUUGUGCUUGCAAGUAACAACUCCCUAGUAAACAAAAUGGUCAUUGAGAACGUGGAGCCAAAUGGAAAUUUUCCACAUAGCGAUCUUUAACAAAUAAUGAACCAUCAUAGUGUUCCACAUAGUUUAUCAACAUAAUUGGUACGUUUAAGAUACUCUUGAUUGUAUUUUGAAAUACAUUAUGCAGCUUAUACUGAAAAAAAUGGAGACAUACUUGAUACAUAUAGUUAUUUACUUAAAAAGUGAAAGUUACUCUUGUUCGAGUACUGGCCAAUGAAUAUUUGGAUGCUUUGUUUUUAUUAAAAUUAUAUAAAGUCCUAUGGUGCUUUGUUAUGUAUCAUCCUAAUCCAGCCAACCCCCCUUCCGAUGCACGACGGGUGUUUUCACUUAAAUAUUUGCGUAGGGUGGUUGUAUGUUUAUGUUGGUUCUAUCAUUCUUUCUCCUUAGUUUGUUAAAAGUGUCAGUAGGUCUCAAAUAAUGCACAAAUCCUUUAUAUGACUACUUUAUUGUUAGUGUGUUCACAUACUAUUAUUUCAUGUUGAGGUAUCUUUUCUGUGACAAAGGAGGUAUAUGUCCGAAUGUUUUACAUAUCUGCUUGCUCUUGGUGGGAGAAAAAGGGGAAAGCAGGGGAAGACAAUAUAUGAUGAAACGUUGUUCUGCUUAGCGAUUUGAAGUUAUAUUCCUCUAUGAUCUUGCUUUUCUUGAUAAUGUAUCAUAAUUUCUUUAAAAUACUAAAAUCCUAUUGUUGAAUCUUUUCAUUUUCUGUUCCCCCCUGUUAAAUCUAGUUUUUUUAGUUAAUUUUUUUAUAAUCAAACUGUGUUUUAGAUUUUUAAAGUUUUGGACUCUGUAGGAUUCUUAGAUUUUCUUUUAAUUCUAAUUUAUUUGUUUUCUUAAAAUAAUACUCUGAUCAUUUAAUUCUACAUUUUCAAUAGGAACUGUUUGUGCUUGGCCAAUGGCAAAUUCAAAGGGGUCAUCAAGCUUCAGAAAUAUGAUGUAAUGAAAGCAUUCUUUACUUCCUCCUAAAAUCCUGUUUCCUAGCAUUUCCCCCUCAUAUGCCGAUUAUGUCCUUGGUCCUGUUAUUGGGGGAAAAGGUAUACCUAAGCCUAGAGAGGGAAACUCACACCAUCAACAUAACUUUGAUGUAGCAUCUAGAGAAAUUACCUGAUUACCUAUUCUUUUUGUUUUCCUCCCCUUAAAUUUUACUACCUGAUUAACUAUCCUCCUAUUUUUUUCAUAUUCAACAUUUUUCACUUUAUGUAACUGCAGCUAGAGAAAGUAGUUGUGCAGCCAACUCCAAUUUCAUGGUGAGUUCUCUGUACUAGUUUAGGAUCAUUGUCUGUUGCCAAAAGAGGUUUUUAUUUUAUUUUCUUUUUUUAAUUUUAGUUCGCCAGUUUCAUCUUUUCUUAUUCCUUGCCUUAUUGAAAUUGAAUUUUUGUGUUUCUCUUGCGGCAUGAAAUUUACAUGCCCAACCUUGAUUUUUAUGAAGAAAAUGAUGAUAAAGUGGAUCUAACAUGUCACACUCUAUUCCUUCUAGUUCAUUGUUAUUCUUUCAGUUAUCUUAUGUUAGUUAAUAAAUUUUGUAGGUACUAUGGUCUUUGGGAGACCAUACAAUAACAAAUUUUGUAGUUAUUGUAACUCGAGUAUUAUGAUCUAUUUACAUGUGAAGUUUUGAUUUUAUUAGCUCUUUAUGCAUUAGUUUAUCAA
rnacentral:lncRNA from 1 species